rnacentral:rRNA from 1 species
UACGGGGGGAGCAAGCGUUGUUCGGAUUUACUGGGCGUAAAGGGCGCGUAGGCGGCGUGACAAGUCACUUGUGAAAUCUCCGGGCUUAACUCGGAACGGUCAAGUGAUACUGUCGUGCUAGAGUACAGAAGGGGCAACUGGAAUUCUCGGUGUAGCGGUGAAAUGCGUAGAUAUCGAGAGGAACACCGGUGGCGAAGGCGGCAUCCUGGACCGGCAUUGACGCUGAGGAGCGAAAGCCAGGGGAGCAAACGGG